GGAGAGCUGCUGGCAAGGAAAACUACUUUCUUUGCUUAUCUGUAAGAAGCAAUUCCUCAUCCAUUGACGUUUUAUCACAAGAUUGUAGCAGUUCACUCCCAUCGUCAGGCCCCA